AUGGCGGGGUUCUCUCUGAGGGGAGGCGGCGGCGGAGGUGGAGGAGGCAGCGGGGGAAGGAGCGGCGACCGCGGCGAUCAUCCCAUCGGGGCAGACAGCCUGUUUCUGUACGCGCGCGGCGCCGCCGCCGCGGCCGCCGACACGGCGGGCGGCGGCGGCGGGGGAGGAGGUGGGAUAGGGUUCCAGCUAUGGCACCCGCACCACCAGCAGGCGGCGGCCGUGCCGCACACGUCGCAGUUCUUCUCCUCCGGGGUGGCCACCGGCGUCGUGCUGGGCUUCUCGCCGCAUGAGGGCGGUGGCGUGGGCGGCGUCGGCUUGGCUGGUGGAGGCGGCCCGGGGGGCGGGAGGGCCGGCACCAGCUGCCAGGACUGCGGAAACAACGCCAAGAAGGACUGCACCCACCAGCGGUGCCGCACCUGCUGCCGCAGCCGCGGCUUCAACUGCUCCACCCACGUUAAGAGCACCUGGGUCCCCGCCUCCAAGCGGCGCGAGCGCCAGCAGCAGCUCGCCGCGCUCUUCCGCGGCGCGGCAGCCAACAACAGCGCCGCCGCGGCCGCCGCCGCUGCCGUUGCCAACAAACGGCCCCGCGAGCUCGUGCGCUCCCUCGGCCGCUUGCCGUCCGCGACCACCGCGAUGGUCGACGCCACCACCUCCUCAGGCGAGGGGGACGGGAGAUUUCCGCCGGAGCUGAGCCUGGAGGCCGUGUUCCGGUGCGUGCGGAUAGGACCGGUGGACGAGCCGGACGCGGAGUUCGCGUACCAGACGGCGGUGAGCAUCGGGGGGCACACAUUCAAGGGGAUCCUGCGCGACCAUGGGCCGGCGGAAGAGGCGACUGGGCAGCUGCCGCCGUCGUCGGCGGAGUACCACCAGCUCACAGGGGCCGCGAGGGAGGGGUCAUCGCCGGCCGGGAGCAGCGAGGCGGCCGGCGGGCACGGGGCGACGGUGGCGACGUCCGCGGCGGUGCUCAUGGACCCCUACCCGACGCCGAUCGGCGCCUUCGCAGCAGGCACCCAGUUCUUCCCUCAUAACCCUAGAACCUAG
rnacentral:rRNA from 1 species